GCCAAAGGCGGAAAUAAUUUUAAAAGAUUUUUAAUAACAUUAUGAGUUUUCUUUUCUUGUCUAUCCAGAUAUGGAGGAAGGCCAUUUCAUGCAAUUAAUUCUUCAAACAAAGAUGGUACUGUUUCCAUCCUUCCACCACACGGUGGGCUCUGUUUUUCCCGACACUCUGCAAGAGCAAAGUUGAAUUGACAACACUCAUAUUCCUAUAGUGCAUAACUGGAACUUGGAAUCCCUUAUUCCUGUGUGGUCCAGCAUGGAUCUUUGCAGACCAGGUUUCUUAGUCCUAAAUUAAUAAGAAGGAUUGCACUGGUCACUCCAAUCCUUACUAAAAACACAAGACACUGAAGAUUGCCAGAUUCACCUAGGCAGAGCAACUGUCUGGAAACUUGUAAUUCUAAAACACUACUGAAGACAAGAAGGUCUGGCUUUGAUCAGUGCUUGAAUGAGAAGCUACAUUUGCAACUCGCUCUGUGCUGUUUUCCACUGUAUGGUGGAAGAAAGGCCUAAGCUAUGAUCCAAAGAGCUAAUCUUAGGUACAUCCAAGGGCUCAAUCAUGCUAAUGGGAUGUUCAGCCUUUUUUCUUCAAAUAACCAACUACUGCUUUUGAAAGUUGCUUUAAUUCCAAAUGUCAUUUGCAAUGUAGCACAGCAGAGAACAGCUUGCAUCUCAAGUCUUCAACCCUCUCUGGAUAUUGGGACAUAGUUACAUAGGUGGUAUUCUACUGUGGAACAUGAGUUUCACUUACCAAUAAUGCAGAGAACAAAUUUUCCAGAUAUCUGCAAAGCUUGUGGGACAGCCAACCUUUUUCAGUCAAGAAUACUGAUACCUUUAACAGCAAUUAUUAACUGACACUUUUCAUGGCUGUUCUUAGUCAUAAGAACCCUGGUAAGAAAAAUGAAUUGAAAAUCCUAGGAGCUAAACAGGAAUGCUGCGAAGUUUAUGCAGGGACAUAGCCAGGAUUUUGGGAAGGGGGGGUCCACACUAAGUGCCACCAUUGGGUGUGGUGGCGCAGUGGCACACACCAUUCGUUUUAUCUAAUGGGGGGGGGGGUCCAGACCCCAAGACCCCCCCUCCCUUGGCUACAUCCCUGGUGUAUGGGGAUGCUCAGGGGCAAAACCUCCCCGUUCCCACUUUUGUUUCUUUAGUUAACUGUCUUCAAGUUAACUUCAACUCAUGGUUUGCCCUUGGCUUACUUCGAUUGCUGCAAACUAAGUCCUGGUGCACACUUGUGAAAGAAACUGUGAGGAGGAGGAGAGAGCAACUGGGAAAUUUUUAAAGCAGCUAAAACAAAUGGCAUAACGUAAGAUUAACUGAGACUGUCCCUGCUAAAUUGAGAACUCUUUAGCCUGGGUGUUGGCUUCCAUGAGUUCUGCUUGGGCAACCUUCUGUGGAACAUGUUAGCAAACAGACUACAUCACAACAGAGCAACCUCUUGUAUUUCUGCUGCUAGCAAUUUGUUGCAUCCAAGCCAUCACAAUUUAUUUGUUUGGAUAUACUAGCUCUUAAUCCACUGAAUAUUAUUCAUGUGAGAGAAAAAUGAGGCUUAGUGUUGUUUGACUUGCUUCCAGAUGACGCUGUUAUUAAUUAAUAUGUGAGUAUAUAUCAACUUGUCAGUUUUUCUUAUCAAAACUUUUCCAGAACUGAAGCUCAAAGACCUCUUUGUUUACAGCAGCAAGGCUGAAAGCUAGAAGAAAUACAGCUACAUAUAUAGAACAUUGUGUAUGCAGUAUCUUAUCAGCUGCAUUUCUGAAAGCAAAAGAGACCUAAUCUGAAUUAUUUGUUUUUUUUGAAGUUUUGAAAUGUGGCUAACUAGCUUUUGUUGCUGUUGGGUGCUUUCAAGUCAUUUCCAACUUAUGGUGACCCUAAGGCAAUUCUAUCAUAGGGUUUUCUUGGCAAGUUUUUUUCAUUGCUAUCCUUUGAGCCUGAGAGACUGUGACUUGUCUAUAGCCAGCCAAUUGCCGAGCCAGGAUUCAAACCCUGACCUCACAGUGUCCCAGUCCAAUGCCCAAACAUUGCACACAAUGGCCAUCUUUAAUUACUACCGUCUCAUUUAUUAUCCAUAGUAUACCUUGGAAAUUGUACACCUUAAAAAAAUGAUGAUGUAUCUUUUCUAUGGCAUCCCUCUUACUGUUAAAGUAAGAUACAAAGGAUGUGUUCAAGUGUUAAUCUCCACACACAAAAACUAAAACUGAGUAAAUUUUGGGUGUACACAACUCUUUGGAUGCCAGGGCUCUCAGGACUUCUGUGCAUUUAGUAUGAAAGUUUGGAGGGUACUGUAAAUAUGUUUGUCCUAUGAAUGCACAAAUCUCAACAUGAAUUGAAACCGCGCUUUCUGUGCUUCCAUAGUUAUAACCCUCCAUUUGAACAUGCUCUCAAGCCACCUUCAGAAUUUAGUGCUAAAUAUGAAAAGGCUGAAGGAGGAUCUAGUUUCAUGGGGACAUUGGAGAAAGGAUUUUCGGAUAUGCCUCCACCAUCAGCACACUUUUAGGCCUUAUACAAGCAGGAUGGCCACCUGCUUUUCUAUGUGAAUAUGAUGGACACGAGAAUGACUGUCCCAUCAUCCCAUUCUGUUUAAUUUAACCCCCAGAUGAGGGUGAAAACCUCCUUGAUUUUCUGACUUUUGCUCAAAGAAGUAGCACUUUGCCAGUAUAUGUAUAUCCCAGCAAUACCAUGUUUUAAUGUCUUAUUUAAGUGAGACUUUUCUUUAAAAAUCAUGCAUAAAAUUAGGUUGUUUCUUUAAACUAAUGAGUCCCAAGACAGCACAAGAUUUGGUGAUGUGUGAAAUAUAGUAAUGUUAAUGAGAUGUGUUAUCUCCCAAUCUCAGUGUGUAACACCAUAUACUCUCCUGAAUGCAUAUCUAAUGGAACAGCUCAUAAAGAUGUCAAGGGAGGUGAAAUAGACAGAUCCUAACUGGGUGAAUAUGGGUCACACACAUGAGCCAUUACUACCCAGACUUUGACUAAUCUAGAUCUUCUGGCCUCAUUUAUGAUUUCUGGAGACCCUGAACAUCAUCAUUUUCAUUUCUGUUCUGAAACGAUCCUCUCCAAAAUCCUGUCCCACCAUCUCACCGCGUGGGAGUGACUCUGGGGCCUCAGGAAAUGUCAGUGGAGUGCAAGUUGGUAAGGCUAUGACUGUGGCCACAGUGGGAGUGUGCAGGUCUGCCAUCCAGGGACCCAACUAAAUAUGGAGAGGCUCAUCACCACAAAGUUAGCCACCAUGUGACAAAUUGUCCAUAGCAACUGUGAACUGAGUGAUAAUGAAUUAGCUAUAGCAGCAAUGAACACAAAGAGAAAGUGGAAAUAGUUGUGAUUCGUAUCAGUGGCAAGACUAUCUGCAUGAAUGAAAUCAUGGAACUUGAAAAUAUUCAAAGUUUAAAACAA